rnacentral:rRNA from 1 species
AACGAACGCUGGCGGCAUGCCUAACACAUGCAAGUCGAACGAAGUCUUCGGACUUAGUGGCGCACGGGUGCGUAACGCGUGGGAAUCUGCCCUUGGGUGCGGAAUAACUUCUCGAAAGGGAUGCUAAUACCGCAUAAUGUCGUAAGACCAAAGAUUUAUCGCCCAAGGAUGAGCCCGCGUAAGAUUAGCUAGUUGGUGGGGUAAAAGCCUACCAAGGCGACGAUCUUUAGCUGGUCUGAGGGGAUGAUCAGCCACACUGGGACUGAGACACGGCCCAGACUCCUACGGGAGGCAGCAGUGGGGAAUAUUGGACAAUGGGCGAAAGCCUGAUCCAGCAAUGCCGCGUGAGUGAUGAAGGCCCUA